rfam:Triticum aestivum genome assembly, contig: Triticum_aestivum_CS42_TGACv1_scaffold_328073_4BS
GUACUACUCCCUCCGUCCGGAAAUACUUGCCGAAGAAAUGGAUGAAUCUAGACGUAUUUUAUUUAUAAAUACAUCCAAUUUUAUCCAUCUCUCCAGCAAGUAUUUUGGGACGGAGGGAGUACUAU